UAGUCUGCAACUCGACUACAUGAAGCUGGAAUCGCUAGUAAUCGCGAAUCAGAAUGUCGCGGUGAAUACGUUCCCGGGUCUUGUACACACCGCCCGUCACACCAUGGGAGUCAGUAACGCCCGAAGCCGGUGACCCAACCGAUAAGGAGGGAGCCGUCGAAGGUGGGACCGAUAACUGGGGUGAAGUCGUAACAAGGUACC
rnacentral:rRNA from 1 species